GCGGUUGUGGUCUAGCCUGGUCUAGGACUGAAGCUUCCCAAGCUUCUAACCCGGGUUCAAAUCCCGGCAGCCGCACCA
rnacentral:tRNA from 1 species